AAUCCGGUUGAUCCUGCCGGACCCCACUGCUAUCGGGAUAGGACUAGGACGUGCUAGUUGAGCGCUUCCAGCCAAAACGGGAGCGCAGCGCACAGCUCAGUAACACGUGGCUAAUCUGCCCUUGGGACCAGAACACCCCCGGGAAACUGGGGCUAAUUCUCGAUAGGUGAAGAACUCUGGAAUGAGUCUUCGCUAAAAAGAUGCUUACGUUAUGCUCGUAAGCGUCGCCCAAGGAUGAGGCCGCGACCGAUCAGGUUGUUGGUGAGGUAAUGGCUCACCAAGCCUUUUACCGGUGCGGGCCGUGAGAGCGGGAGCCCGGAGAUGGGCACUGAGACAAGGGCCCAGGCCCUACGGGGCGCAGCAGUCGCGAAAACUUUGCAAUACACGAAAGUGUGACAGGGCUAUCCCGAGUGCCAUCCGCUGAGGAAGGCUUUUACCCAGUCUAGAACGCUGGGGGAAUAAGGAGAGGGCAAGUCUGGUGUCAGCCGCCGCGGUAAUACCAGCUCUCCGAGUGGUGUGGAUGUUUAUUGGGCCUAAAGCAUCCGUAGCUGGCUGAGUUAGUCCCUUGUUAAAUCCACCGAAUUAAUCGUUGGAUUGCGGGGGAUACUGCUCGGCUAGGGGACGAGAGAAGGCAGACGGUAUUUCUGGGGUAGGGGUGAAAUCCUAUAAUCCCAGGAGGACCACCAGUGGCGAAGGCUGUCUGCUAGAACGCGCCCCACGGUGAGGGAUGAAAGCUGGGGGAGCGAACCGGAUUAGAUACCCGGGUAGUCCCAGCUGUAAACGAUGCAGACUAGGUGUUUGGACGGCCACGUGCCGUUCUAGUGCCGCAGGGAAGCUGUUAAGUCUGCCGCCUGGGGAGUACGAUCGCAAGAUUGAAACUUAAAGGAAUUGGCGGGGGAGCACCACAAGGGGUGAAGCUUGCGGUUUAAUUGGAGUCAACGCCGGAAAUCUCACCGGGAGCGACAGCAGUAUGAAGGCCAGAUUAAAGGUCUUGCCAGACGAGCUGAGAGGAGGUGCAUGGCCGUCGCCAGUUCGUGCCGUGAGGUGUCCUGUUAAGUCAGGCAACGAGCGAGACCC
rnacentral:rRNA from 1 species